rnacentral:rRNA from 1 species
GACGAACGCUGGCGGCGUGCUUAACACAUGCAAGUCGAACGGAAAGGCCCUGCUUUUGCGGGGCGCUCGAUUGGCGAACGGGUGAGUAACACGUGAGUAACCUGCCCUUGACUUUGGGAUAACUUCAGGAAACUGGGGCUAAUACCGGAUAGGAGCUCCUGCUGCAUGGUGGGGGUUGGAAAGUUUCGGCGGUUGGGGAUGGACUGGCUGCUUCUCAGCUUGAUGGGGGGGUAGUGGCUUACCAAGGCUUUGACGGGUAGCCGGCCUGGGAGGGUGACCGGCGACAUGGGGCCUAAGAUACGGCCCAGACGCGUACGGUAGGCAGUGGGGGAGAGCAUUGCGGAACGGCCGGAAGUGUGUGGCAGAAACGCUCGGAGCGGAAAACCGGGUUUCGGGGGGAAAACAACUGUGUCCGGUACCAAGCCCGGAGUGACGGUAAUGAGUAAAAAAGCCCCGGCUAACUACGUG